rnacentral:lncRNA from 1 species
CUUGUAGCUGUAACCGGCCUCCUCACAUCAGAAAAAUUGUUCAAGAGCAUGAUGCAUUGCAUCUUUCAUGCUCCUAUGUCUUUCUUUGACUCGACACCUACAGGGCGAAUCUUAAACAGGGUCAGUCCAUUCUCCUGUCUCAGAAGUGUAAACUAUGUAAAAUAAAUCCUAAAGAAAUUCUAUGUAAAAUAAGUAAACAUAUACUGCAUUACACAGGAAAGUGUAAUGUGUAUGUCGCUUUACCUGAGUUGCUAAUACAUGAUUUUUGCAUUGUUCAUGUAGGCUUCGAUUGAUCAAAGUGUGCUAGAUUUGGAGACAGCGUCAACAUUAAGUGAGAGCACAUUUUCAGUGAUGCAGUUUCUAGGAACAAUACUAAUCAUAUCAUAUGUUUCCUGGCCAGUUCUCAUUAUUUUUAUUCCAUCAAUAUUGAUUUGCAUCAGGUAUCAGGUAAGAGUUAACUGUAACUUAGUCAGAUUCAAAAUAGUAUCAGUACACACAAUAUGCCUAUUGAGAAUGAAUCAUAUCUCCCAUAAUAUCCUGCAGAGAUAUUACAGUCUAACAGCAACAGAAUUAGCUCGCCUAUCAGGAAUUCAAAAGGCUCCAAUUCUUCAUCAUUUUGGGGAAACUUUCUAUGGAGCUGCAAUAAUUCGAGCAUUUCGCCAAGAAGACCGGUUCUACAGAUCAAAUCUGAGUCUACUUGACAAUCAUUCAAGACCAUGGUUUCACUUGAUGGCUGCAGUAGAAUGGCUCUCUUUCAGAAUGAAUUUGUUAUGCAACUUUGUCUUUGGGUUCUCGUUGGUUUUGCUUGUGCGUCUUCCACAAGGUUUUGUUAAUCCAAGUAAGUUUUGACUUGUUCGGACCCAUGAAUUUAAUUGAACGUAAACUCAUGCUGUUCUACCGUCAUUCAAACUUGAAGGAUAAAUAUCUUUUUUCUGGUAUAAGGGUUGAUGUUCUCUUGCUGCAAAACAGGCAUUGGUGGGCUGGUAGUGAUGUAUGCAUGGAAUUUGAAUACACAAUUAUCAGAAGCCACCCGGAAUAUAAGUCGUGCAGAAGCAAACAUGAUAUCAGUUGAAAGAAUAUUACAGUACACAAAGCUUCCAAGUGAAGCCCCAACCAUAACCGAGGGUAGCAAGCCACCAAUGGCAUGGCCAGAGUUUGGCAUGAUAAGCAUAAGCAACUUAGAGGUAUGGUUCUAAAUGAUUAGAAAGAAGAUCAUAAUAAUUUUAUUUCAUACUAAGUAUCAGAGGUGUACACCCUUUAGUUGGCCCAGUAAUGAUAUUGCACAUUUAAUCAUACAGGUCAGAUAUGCAGAACAUCUCCCUUCAGUAUUAAAAAACAUAACUUGUGUGAUUCCAGCUGAGAAAACAGUAGGUAUUGUUGGACGCACAGGUAGUGGGAAGUCAACCUUAGUACAAGUACUUUUUCGGAUUGUUGAGCCAAGAGAAGGGACCAUCAAGAUUGACAGCAUCGACAUCUGCAAAAUUGGACUUCAUGAUCUGAGAUCGAGAAUAUGUAUUCUCCCACAGGAUCCGGUGAUGUUCGAUGGUACAAUCAGAGGAAAUCUUGAUCCCAUGAACGAGUACCCAGAUAGUAGGAUAUGGGAGGUAAGUGCAGAAAACUUACAUGUUACAUCCUAACUAGAAUAUAUGACAAAGCUUUUCUAUUUGUAUAGACAAUGGUUCCAUAAAUAGCACAAAUCAUAUAAAGCAAAAAAAAUGGGUAAGCGUGAAUAGACGACAACAAUAUGAAGUGAAGAUGGUACAGAUUGCGACCCCUAUCCACCAGUAAAUGAAUAAGACCUCAAAAGCAAGCAUACAAACUAGAAGUAAUUUUAGGGUAGAUCAACAGUAGUUUUCAUUCUGAAGUAAUGAACUACCCAUGUCAGGUAGUAGACAAGUGUCAGCUUGGCAAUGUGGUGCGCUCGACUGAGAAAAAGCUGGAUGAAAUAGGUACUGCUCAGCAUUAAACUUUUGAAGGAAGACAAAAAAACUGCAAUGAGUCCUUUAGGAAAAGAACAUGUUAAUAUGUAGUUUUUCUGAAAUACUUAUGCUACUAUGAAUUUAUAUUUCAUUCGCAGUAAUUGAAAAUGGGGACAACUGGAGCAUGGGACAGCGACAACUAUUUUGUUUAGGCAGAAUUCUCCUGAGGAAGAGCAAGAUACUAGUCCUUGAUGAGGCAACUGCUUCAGUUGACUCUGCUACAGACCGGAUUAUUCAAGAGAUAAUUCGUCAAGAAUUCAAAGAUUGCACAGUGCUUGCAAUUGCCCAUAGGAUGAACACUGUUAUUGAUAGUGACCUUAUUCUUGUUCUUGGUGAAGGUAGGUAUACCACUACAAUACUAAAACAACCUCAGAAUAUCAUGUUGCACAGCUACGUCACUCUUUAAAUCUGAUAUCUCUAUGCAGGUAGUAUUUUAGAAUACGACACCCCCACCAAACUGCUCCAGAGAGAGGACUCUACAUUCUCUAAGCUAACCAAAGAGUACUCACAACAAUCGCAGCACUUCAAGUCUUCAACGGCAAUGCACAGGAUGGGUAGCUACUAAUUUUCCUGAAGACAUACUACAUUCUACAUGGCUAUAUUCCCCACGACACACCUGAAGUAUCCGCGCCACAGCAACUCAGCAAGGGGCAGGGAAUUGCUUCGUAGUCCAAGUAAAAUUUUCUAAAUGUUGCAUGUAAAACCUAUGAAUAGCAAAACAGCGUAAAUGAUUAAUUUACAGAAAAAUGGCACUACCUUAGCUUGUGAUUCCCAGAUAAGAAAACAUCCUGCUGGUUGAGGCAUUCCGUCGAACAGCUGUUUCGCGUCCCCUGACCAGCACAGACUGGUAAUCCCAGACUUCUGGGUCUACGAAUGCACACUGAUUUUAACGAAUGCUUGAGACUUGAUACUGAGAUUUGGUGAGCAGUGCUUACGGAUUUGAACACUGGGAAGAUGGAGCUUGCAUCUGGUCAAGCAGGGUGGUAGCGGCGGGCGGUGGCCUGCAACCGCGCGCAAGGCCGUGCGCAGCUGCGGAUUUCGGAGAUGGGAGUGCGAAACACCACGCAGACGCGCGUGGCGCCGCGCUAGAGCUCAGGGCCUCAGGUUCGUGUUCCGCGCACGCCAGCGAGGGCCGCCGUGUUUGGCAUGGCGAGGGGCGAGAGCAGAAGCCCCGGAGGUUGUUUGUCUUUUUCCUUUUCUUUUUUUUUUUUUGAGAAAAUUUGGAGGUUUGGUUUUGGUUUCGGAAAAAG